AAUUUUCUACCCCACUUUGUAAUUAUUUAAUACGAAGUAUAUAUAAUUUUCUAGGAACCACCACUACAAUAAACUCUCUUUCUACUUUGAUUAAAAUAUCAUCUUUUUUUCUAUAUGUUUAUCACGGGAGAUGAUACACAUACCCCGUGGGUAUGUAGACCCCUUAUACCCUGGUAGGUGAUUGGUCCAACUCAGCUUAAGAAAUUUCAUGAAGGAGGAAAAUGGGGGGACAAAUUGGGGUAAUGGCGCCAUUUAGCUUACACAAGUGGGAGUUUUAGCGCCUAGAAUUAAGUGAAGAACUGAGCACCAAUUUUUUCAUAAAAAAAUAAUUAAUCGAAAAAUAUAAAACUCACCGACGCCGAUCAUAAUUCCGACCAAGUCUCAAUGAAAGCAUGAACCACAUAUUGUAAUUCAAAUAGAGAACUAGUUUUAACAGGUUAAAUACGAGAAAAUAGGUCCCUUAAUUGCAAAGUUCGACUAAUUAUACUGGAGAUCAACUAAUUAUGAACGUAAGUGUUGGUGGGGGAGGUGUUGCUUUUGUCGCUGUUGCAAGCAGAAAUGGAGAUGGUGAUGUUGUCAUUCCUGCUGAAGAAAAGAAAUAGGAAAAGGAGGAAGCCGAGGAGGUCAACUCCCUCUUUGCAAAGUCCAUAAUCAAACUCAACGAAGAAAAAUAUUGUCUAAUAGAUCUUCAAAAUGUGAAGAUACACAACAAUGCGAUUAUAUUUUAGUAAUAACUUUUAGAACUUAGAUAUUGUCUUAUUGUGUAAAUUUGUGGUUAAGUUUAGGAACCUAUGUGUGAUAGGAUAUUGUAGGAGUGCAGAUGAUAGUUUAUCCGGGCUCAAUUUAUAUGUUGUUUUACUUUCUUAGAAGAAUUGUAAGCACAUUUGAAAUUAUUUUAGUAUAAAUACAUGUACUCGAAAUUGAAUUAAAAUGAAGAUUGUUUAUUUAUUUUGUCA